rnacentral:rRNA from 1 species
UACGUAGGGUGCAAGCGUUGUCCGGAAUCAUUGGGCGUAAAGCGCGCGUAGGCGGCCCGAUAAGUCCGCUGUAAAAGUCAACGGCUCAACUGUUGAAAGCCGGUGGAUACUGUCGGGCUAGAGUACGGAAGAGGCAAGUGGAAUUCUCGGUGUAGCGGUGAAAUGCGUAGAUAUCGAGAGGAACACCUGCGGCGAAGGCGGGUUGCUGGGCUGACACUGACGCUGAAGCGCGAAAGCUAGGGGAGCGAACGGG